AAGAAAGUGCUAAUGCAGUCUAGUGCAGGAACAGAAAACAAACUACAAUAUAAGAAAUUAUUGUGCUUUCUAUCAUCUCGGAGAAGUUAUCACGAUUAAAAACUCCAAAUUGAUUUUAGAAUUAGAAUUGCCAAAGAAAAAAUUUGUGUUUUACGAUUAUCCUGAAGGGAGAAAAAAUGAUAAUAUUGUCACCUUUUGCAGUGUUAAAUAUUGCAAGCAGAAACAUUUCAAUCCCUGUGAAUCAAAUAAUUAAAUUGAAUCCAAUUGAGUCGAUUGAGAGUAAUGGACAACAGCGAGAUAGAAAGACAAACUAUGAUGGAGGAUAAACCAUCACGUUGCAUACACGUUUACAACAAACGUGAGGUAGGACACAUCGGUGAUAGAAUUUAGUUGUAUAAAGGACAA
rnacentral:misc_RNA from 1 species